UGGGUAUUUUUGUUUGAUCCUCUGUUUCUUUCUUUUUGCUUUUUCUUUCCUUGACGUUUUCCUAGACUGAUAUUUUGAGUUUGUAGUGCACCGGGAUGCCCUAAGUUUUCAUAAGUCACUUGUUUUCAAGUUUUCAACUUUGCGGGCUUUUCUUUUCUUUUUUGAAUUUCAUCUCAUUUUUUUGUGAACAAAUUGUUUGACAUUUGUUUGAUUGGUUUGUUGAAAGGGUCGAGACAACCUUGUUCCUUU
rnacentral:lncRNA from 1 species